rnacentral:rRNA from 1 species
UACGAAGGGGGCUAGCGUUGCUCGGAAUGACUGGGCGUAAAGGGCGCGUAGGCGGCUUGCACCGUCAGAUGUGAAAUUCCUGGGCUUAACCUGGGAACUGCGUCUGAUACUGGAGGGCUUGAGUAUGGGAGAGGGAUGUAGAAUUCCAGGUGUAGCGGUGAAAUGCGUAGAUAUCUGGAGGAAUACCGGUGGCGAAGGCGGCAUCCUGGACCAUUACUGACGCUGAGGCGCGAAAGCUAGGGGAGCAAACGGG